rnacentral:lncRNA from 1 species
AAUAACCACAAACCAUGAUGUGAAUGCUGCUAUGCAUGUUGGAUGAAUCAUUUUGAACAGGGCCACAGAGAAUGCAGGGAAAGGUAAAUAACUGGAUGGGGAGAGUACGGGAAAAGGAGAAUUGAGGAGGACCCUCAGCUUCCUGGUUUGGGUGGCCAAGUUGACAAGGCAUACGAAGCAGCAGAAGGCUUGAGCUGGAGAGGUGUAGAGGGAUGGGGAAAUCUUUUUUAUCAGUAUGCUGAGUUUGAUAUGCCUACAAAAUUAUUAUGGUAGUUUGAGGUCCCUGUGAAACAUCCAAAUGGUAAUGUCCCAUGUUUGAAGCUUAGGAGAGAAAGGUGUGACGGAUUAGCACAAUGGGAGUGGCUACAAAAUCAUGCUAAGAAGGAGAAAAGAAGGAAAGGAAAGAAUUCAAAAAGCAAAAGCAUUUAACAUGUAGGCAGAGAGUAAGAAAUGGGCUGAGAAACAACAGCCAGAAAGAUAGACAAUUAGGUGACUGUUGCUACUCAGAAAUCUACCUGCAGCUGUGUUUUCCUUCUCAUUUCAAACCACUUGCUAGACAUUCUCUAAUUGGAUAUUGCUCUAAUAUCUCAAAUUCAGUUUUACACACACACAAAAAAGUUUUUACUUCUGACUUCCAUGUUUGUAUCAAUGUGAUGAAAGAAUGCUUUCUUCACAGAUAAAUCUGAAGGCCCUGACUCUUCACCAACAGCGCCUAUGCUUUGAGUUACUCUGUCCAGAUAAUAUUAAGAGAUGAUUCUAAUAACCUAAUCACCUGAAGCAUAUUUUCACCUGCGUGUAUGUGUGAGGCAAAGUAUUCUGGGAAACAUAACUCAGAUAUUUAUGAAACAGAUUUGUUCUCAGGCCAGCAGAAAGAAGUCAGAAGCUAGAAAACUAGCUGUGUAUCCUCUGACUUUUAACAAGUCCCUUCAACUCAGUGAAUCACAGUAUUUUCAAAGAGAAACUAACUCAAGAAUGACCUACUAUGGCAUUGGAUAGUGCGUGGUUCGACAGCUUCUCUCAAAGCCCUGGAAUAAAUGUCUUAUAGUGGAAUACUAUCCCAGACUGACUUUGACAGCCUCCAAGGGAGACUGAAUAAUUCAAUGGAAAUAAAAUUUGCGUUAGCUAUUUCUCAUUCUAGAAGCCAG